CCCCGGCUCCGCCUCUCCCCCCAAAAUGGAUGACGACCCAAAAUUAGACUGUCAGCUGGUGUAAAAUGGCGGCAUGACACACUCCAAGACUGGAAUUAAAACUCUUGGUAGGGUGACGGUUCCAGAAAGUGGACAAAAUAAUUUGAGGUCUGCGACGUUAGCGACCAGACAAGCAUCGCUGCUUCUGGCUGGUCUGUAAUUACCGGGCGUUAAACACUUCGUCUUCUUGUUUGAUGGCAAAGGUGAUUUACAGCCCCUUCCCGUGUCGCCAUUACCGACAUCGCCAGGGCAGCGAUGACCCUGUCUGACCUCUGGACGUCACAAUCCUCGGCCUCCACACCCUCCAUCCUUUGACUGGACAAGGCUGCUGAUGGAGAGAGCGUCACAAAGUCUUCACAAAGGUCGUGGGGGG